UAUGUUACUCUUUAAUUACAAGAAUUUUAGACACAGUUAUUUCCCCCCCGUCAUGCAAUUAGUAGAGAUUCUGAUAAGGUAGUUUGCUUAGUUAUUAGCAGUCAGCUCCGUUAAUCUAAUUGCACCGCUCGUUUUGUUUUACGUGAGUUCAAACUGGCAUAAACAGAAUACUCACAACCUGUCCAACUUUUUUAUCAGUUGGCAAUUUCAUAUAUAGCGACAAACUACGGCUACCAAAUAACGUAAUAGUUAAUGCUCCUUAACCGCUAUAUACUAUCCUAUUCUUAAGGGCUUGUGGGGUUUACAAGCUCAGGGAAAUAUGCUUCAUAGGCUUUCGCCUCGCUUUUUUAGAUAUAUUCAAUUUUUUAUAU
rnacentral:misc_RNA from 1 species